rnacentral:rRNA from 1 species
GUGUCAGCCGCCGCGGUAAUACGGAGGGUGCAAGCGUUAUCCGGAAUUACUGGGUUUAAAGGGUGCGUAGGCGGGAUAGUAAGUCAGUGGUGAAAUCUCUCAGCUUAACUGAGAAACUGCCAUUGAUACUGCUGUUCUUGAAUCUGAUUGAAGUAAGCGGAAUGAGGCAUGUAGCGGUGAAAUGCAUAGAUAUGCCUCAGAACACCGAUCGCGAAGGCAGCUUACUAAGUCAGUAUUGACGCUGAGGCACGAAAGCGUGGGGAGCAAACAGGAUUAGAUACCCUGGUAGUCCACGCUGUAAACGAUGAUUACUCGCUGUUGGCGAUACACAGUCAGCGGCUAAGCGAAAGUGAUAAGUAAUCCACCUGGGGAGUACGUUCGCAAGAAUGAAACUUAAAGGAAUUGGCGGGG